GCAGAUUGGAAGUAUCAAAGUGGAUUAUCAUCCUCAUGGCUUUCUUUAGAGUGUACAGUUCACAUUAAUAUUCACAUCCCACUUUCUGCUACUUCUGUCAGCUAUACUCUGGAGAAAAAUACAAAGAAUGGACUUACACGCUGGGCCAAGGAAAUAGAAAAUGGUGUUUAUUUGAUUAAUGGACAAGUUAAAGAUGAAGAUUGUGACCUAUUAGAAGGACAGAAAAAAUCUUCUAGAGGAAAUACUCAAGCAACUAGUCAUUCUUUUGAUGUCAGAGUGCUAACGCAGUUGCUCCUGAAUUCAGACCACAGAUCCACAGCCACAGUCCAGAUAUGUAGCGGUUCUGUAAACCUUAAGGGUGCUGUGAAAUGCAGAGCUUAUAUCCACAGCAGUAAACCCAAAGUUAAAGAUGCUGUGCAGGCAGUAAAGAGGGAUAUAUUGAACACAGUUGCUGAUCGUUGUGAAAUGCUAUUUGAGGAUCUGCUUUUGAAUGAAAUUCCAGAAAAAAAAAUUCUGAAAAAGAGUUCCACGUCCUCCCUUAUCGAGUCUUUGUUCCCCUUCCUGGAUCCACUGUAAUGUUGUGUGAUUAUAAAUUUGACGAUGAGUCAGCUGAAGAAAUCAGGGACCAUUUUAUGGAGAUGUUGGAUCACACAAUUCAAAUAGAAGAUUUGGAAAUUGCAGAGGAAACAAACACAGCUUGUAUGAGUUCUUCUAUGAAUAGUCAAGCUUCAUUGGACAACACAGAUGAUGAACAACCAAAACAACCAAUUAAAACUACAAUGUUAUUGAAAAUUCAGCAAAACAUAGGUGUGAUUGCAGCAUUUACAGUUGCAGUCCUUGCUGCGGGUAUCUCCUUUCAUUACUUCAGUGAUUAGGGUGAGGCACAAAGAGUUUCUUGAUCAUCCAGAGAACAUUGACAGACAAUUAUGAAUAAUAAAGAUGUUAACAAUCCAUCUGUAUUUAAAACACUAGCAGCCAGAUCUGCUGCCAUGAUGCCUAUUUGGUGUGUUUCUGAUUAAAAUGAAAUC
rnacentral:lncRNA from 1 species